rnacentral:lncRNA from 1 species
GCGGCCGCAGCCUGGGCUCCCGCGGCGGCGGCGGAGGUCAGCGCCGACGGCAGCCCGCACCUGACGGCGUGACGGCCACAUUGACUCUUCGUGCACCGGGCCCAGUCUAUCAGAUCUUCUGCACUGUGUAUCUGCACAGUUGCUGAUAUGUGUUCAAGAUGAGUGGGAUGGGAGAAAAUACCUCUGACCCGUCCAGGGCAGAGACCAGAAAACGCAAGGAAUGUCCGGACCAGCUCGGACCCAGGUGAGCGUAUUGCUGGCCAGAGAACCGCCGUGUCUGUUAGGAGUCUGUGUACUUCUUUGUUGGUUUUGCACUGAUUUUACCCUCAGUGUAAAUAUUUGUUUGGCUUUUUUCUCUAAUUCAAUUUUUAUAUAUGUAACUGCUUAAAUUUUGGAUAUGUGGAUUAUUUACAGAAUUUAUUCUUUUUAAAAGGAAAUUCUCUCAUAUUUUCCUUUACUACCCUUGUGUCUUUUUACUUUUAUAAUCAGUUCAUUGCCAUAAUCUUUGAGUUUCCACAUUUUCUUUUAGGUCAGCGAACACUGUACAGGUACUUUUUUUUAUGGCAUGAAAUGUUCAAUCCAAUUGUUUUUUUACUUAAAAAUAAAUUGUGGUUCUUCAGUGGAUAAAACAAACAAUUUUAAAACAAGUUGGCAACAUCAUAAUGGCAGUUCUGCUCUCAGGAAUGGCCUCAUGGCAGUGUCUGUGUGUGCAGAAAUCCAGAGGUGUGAGCUUACUCAUUUGCAUUUUGCAUUCUUGCUUAGAUUCAUAAAAGGGCAGGAAAAUUUUGCAGAGAACAUUUUAAGAUGGUCUGUGGCCUGGAACACAGUGCAACUGUGACAAACAAUGAGGUUGAUAUUUUUAAAGGCCUCCUAAAAUACUGGGGCACAGAGCCAGUUGUGGUAGUGUACCCUGAAGUCUGAGGCAGGAGGAAUUUAAGACCAAGCUGGGCUGUAUAGGACUUAGAGACCAGCCUAGCCUACAUAUAUAAUUAGAUACUAUCC